AGUGAUUAUUUAAUGUUUUAUAGGUAAUUAUCAAUAUUAUACCAUAACCAUGGAUAAAUAGGUGAAUAUUAUUUGACAAUUACUCAGCAAUACCAUAUGCUUAUAUUAUCACAUAAUACUAUUAUUCACCAUAAGUAUAUUCCUAUAAUACCAAUAUACUAUAAUAAAUAUAUCAUUACUUAAUAUAGUAAUGAUAUAUAGUAUUGAAUACUAUAUUGGUUAUUAUUAUGUUGAUAUACCGAUUAUACAACAAUAGUAUAAAGAUUAAUAUUCACGUUAAUACAUAGUUUUGUUAUAAAAUAUUACAAUGUAUAUUUUAUGUAAAUAUAUUAUUUGACCAUAUAUUUAGUUAUGUUAACUAUAAUAGUUUCUAUACAACAUACUAUAGAUAUUAAUAGUAAUUCAUAGAUAUAUACAUAUAGUUAUAUAAAUUGUAACUUACAUAUUAUAACUGUUUUAUACUAUAUAAGUUAAUUACGAGUAAUUUGUACCCAUGAUAUAUUUACUAUAACUAUAUACAUAAUUAUAGGUUAUAUUAUUAACAUAAUAUAUAAUGUACAAUUGAUACUAAUUGUACGGAUUAUUAUUAUGUAUUGUGAAUAUUAUAAUAUUAUAAUACUAUAUUAUAGCGAUGUAUAUUAUUUAAUAAUUAAAUAGUGUUAUGUAAACUAUCAUUAGCAUACAAUAUUAAUAUAGUUGGGAUAUAUUAACUAUAUUAGGUAAAUGUAAUUAACUACUUAUAAUUAUAUACAUAUAGUUAUAUAAAUAUGAUAUAAUAAUAUUUAAGAUAGUUAUAUGAUUUAUAAUAUGAUUAUAAAUCAUCAUAACUAUAUAUCAUAAUAUAAUAAUUAUUAUAAUAUAUUUAUACUAUUGGAUACUAAUUAUAUCAUAUGAUAAUUGAUGAUAACAUAAUAAUAUUUCAGGUUGACUUAUAUGAUUAAAUUGUGGUGAAUUUACCUAUAUUAGAUUUAUAGGUACCAAUUAAAAUAUUUAUCCAUAUACUUAAAUAUACGUAUCAUAUAUACUUAAUAUAGGUGAUAAUAUAUAAUGUAAUUAAUAGUAUCCAUAAUAAUUAUAGUUAAAUGAUACUAUAAGUAAUAUUGAUUAAUGAUAUACACUAUUGAUUUAUAUUACAUAUAUAAAUAUUACUAAUUGUUAUACAUCCACAUAGAUAAUUAUUUAAAUUAACAAUAUAUAUAAUUAUUAAUCAUUUAUUAAUAAUUAUAAUAGUUACUAUAAUUAUUUAAUCUUAGUUAUACGUAUAAUUAAUGUGACCAUGUAUUAACUGUAUGAUUUCAUGAAAUUAAUACUAUAGUAUAUGCUUAUACUAUAGUUCUAAUAUGAUAUUAGGUAUAUUAAAUAUAAUUACAUAGUAAAUAUAUUUAUGUAAUAUAUGCUAAGGCAUUAUUGUACUCAUAAACACAAUAAUAUAGUUAUGAUUAUGUAUAAUAUAUGACGUAAGGGAUAAUCAUAAACCUAAAGUCAAAUAAUAUUGUGUUAUAGGUAUAUAACUUAAUGUUGUUAAUACUAUGAUAUAAAUUUAUUUAAUUUAUUAAUAAAAUGUUAUAGUAAUAUUAUAGUAAAAUACUAUAUAACGACUAUAUAGUAUAUUUAUCUAAUAGGUAUUGACUGUGUAUUUGAUAUACUAAAAUACUAAAAUAUUUUAAUAUACCAUUAAUCAAGUAUUAUGAUAACAAUUAAUAAUAGUAACCUACAUAUAUCGUAACUUAUAUUAAUAUUAUUAUGAACAUUAUACAUUAUCCUAUUACUAUUAUAAUAAUAGGAUAUAUAUCAUAAGUAUUAUCUUAAUUAUAUAUAAUAUUGUGAUAUUAUCAUAACAGUGAUGAUAAUAUCAUGUUACGAUUAUACUUACCAUAUAUUAUCAAGUGUUUGUCUAUUUACCAUCAUUAUAAAUUUAGCCAAUACCUAGUUAUUUACCAUAUUAGUAAUAUGGUAAGUUAUACUAUCCUAAUAAGUUUAACUAAUAUACAUAUUAGUUGUAUAUUAAUAUACGUAUCAUUAUUAUAUAUACAUUUAGUUAAUUAAAUAAUAUAGUAGGCAUAUAUUAUACGUAUUAAUAUACCUAUUGAUAAUAUGGUAUAUUUUGUAAUAGUAUAUACAUAUAUUUAUCUAUGUAUUUAUGAGCAUCAAACAUGGGUGAAUUAGAGUGUACUAUAAUGAUACUAAAUUAACCCAUAACUGUAGUGAAUAAUAGGUAUAUUAAUAGGUCACUAGUACAUUAUGAAUAGUUAAUAGAUAUUACUAUGGAUACCAUAUAUCUUAUUACAUAGUUAUAAUUUAUGGGUACCAUAGAUUAUCUUCAUAGGUUAUAGUAUGAUGGUAGUUAAUAUUCAUUAACUACCAUUAUAUAAGUUAAUUACAUAUUCUUAUAUUAUACUAAUUUAUAGGUAAUUAAUGAUAAUAGCAUCAUUGUGAUUAUUACAUAUAUGNAUGGGUACCAUAGAUUAUCUUCUUAGGUUAUAGUAUGAUGGUAGUUAAUAUUCAUUAACUACCAUUAUAUAAGUUAGUUACAUAUUCUUAUAUUAUACUAAUUUAUAGGUAAUUAAUGAUAAUAACGUCAUUGUGAUUAUUACAUAUAUAUGGUAUACUAGUAUAAAUAGUGGUAUGUAAACUAUUAUGGUAAUAUAUCAAUUACCUCACUUGUAUUGUAUAUUACCAUACAUAUAUACAAAUAAGAUAACAAUAUAGUCAUUAUAUAUUGGAAUCGUACGGAUCAAUAUUGAGAUAUAUUACAAAUAUCAAUAGUAAUAUCUAUUGAUAUAUUAUAUAAUCACAUAUUAACGUAUAUACAUAUUACAUAAUAUGUAAUAUGUAGUUAUUAUAUUACUAUUAAUAUAGUAUAUUGACUAAAAUAUAUAGUUAUAUGAUCAUAACUAUAGUUUAUGCAAGUUAAUAAUAAUUAGGCAUAUAGUGAUUAUAUUAUAGUAACCGUAUGGAGAGUAUUCAUAUGUGUAUUACCAUAUAGGUAUAACUAACCAUAUAAUGUACUAAAUAAUAAUAAUAAUACUAUAUUAUUAUACAUAGUCAUUAUGCUAAUAAGUAUAUACUAUACCAAUAGUUCUCGGUAAUCACUGAUAAUCAUACGUAAAGGCAUAAUAUAAAUAUCAUAUGUAUUAUGCACAUAUGAUAAUAUAUACCUUAUACUAUAGUAUAUUAAACUAUGAUAAUCGUAUCAGUGUAACAUAACUUAUAACGAUAAUUAGAGCAUAAUGGAUUAUAGUGAACUAAACUGACUAUGACUGAUAACUAAAUGUUCAAUCACCAAUUCUUAUAUAAAGAGAAUGAUAUACGUACAACAUAUAAGUAACAUACUAACAUAGGUUACCUAAUAGGUGAAUAUAAUUGUACCUAUGAUACCACACGAGUUUACGGUACUCUUAGUCAGUUCAUAUAAUCUAUGGUACUAAAGAAUUGAGGUAUUUUUAUGACUUGUGUGUUAAGAGGUCAUAGAAAAGCCUAUUUACUCAAUUAUAUUGCCUU
rnacentral:lncRNA from 1 species